GCAGGUUGCCAAGAGCAGGCCAACAGAUUGGAUUUCAGGAUUUCCAAUUACAAAUGGACGUUUGCAGAUUAUAAAGAACAAUGACCUUCAACUGGUUCUGGAACUUUUGGAACUGUAUAUAAUGGUAAAUAGAGAGGCACUGAUGCUACAAUAAAAAUAAUCAAUGACAGAUGUUUUGCUGGGAAGCCAUCUGAGCAAGAAAAGAUGGUUCUUUCUCAUA